rnacentral:tRNA from 1 species
CAUAGCUCAGUUGGUUAGAGCGGCUGACUGUUAAUCAGUAGGUCCCUGGUUCGAGUCCAGG